GAUGAACGCUGGCGGCGUGCCUAAUACAUGCAAGUCGAGCGAACGGACGAGAAGCUUGCUUCUCUGAUGUUAGCGGCGGACGGGUGAGUAACACGUGGAUAACCUACCUAUAAGACUGGGAUAACUUCGGGAAACCGGAGCUAAUACCGGAUAAUAUUUUGAACCGCAUGGUUCAAAAGUGAAAGACGGUCUUGCUGUCACUUAUAGAUGGAUCCGCGCUGCAUUAGCUAGUUGGUAAGGUAACGGCUUACCAAGGCAACGAUGCAUAGCCGACCUGAGAGGGUGAUCGGCAACACUGGAACUGAGACACGGUCCAGACUCCUACGGGAGGCAGCAGUAGGGAAUCUUCCGCAAUGGGCGAAAGCCUGACGGAGCAACGCCGCGUGAGUGAUGAAGGUCUUCGGAUCGUAAAACUCUGUUAUUAGGGAAGAACAUAUGUGUAAGUACCUGUGCACAUCUUGACGGUACCUAAUCAGAAAGCAACGGCUAACUACGU
rnacentral:rRNA from 1 species